rnacentral:tRNA from 1 species
CAGGGAAUAGUUUAAAUAGAACUUCAGCUUUGGGUGUUGAUAGUGGAGCUAU